ensembl:rRNA 5S_rRNA 5S ribosomal RNA
UCUAGUGACGAUAGCGAAGAGGUCACACCCGUUCCCAUCCCGAACACGGUAGUUAAGCUCUUCAGCGCCGAGGGUAGUUGGGGGUUUCCCCCUGCAAGAGUAGGACGUUGCUGGUC